CGUAAGGCGCCGAAUGAGUCAUUAAAAAAUUAACAUCAUCCGAUCCCUAGUCGGCAUAGUUUAUGGUUAAGACUACGACGGUAUCUGAUCGUCUUCGAUCCCCUAACUUUCGUUCUUGAUUAAUGAAAACAUCCUUGGCAAAUGCUUUCGCAGUAGUUAGUCUUCAAUAAAUCCAAGAAUUUCACCUCUGACAAUUGAAUACUAAUGCCUCAACUAUCCCUAUUAAUCAUUACGUCAAUCCUAGAAACCAACAAAUAGGAUCGAACGUCCUAUUCAUUAUUCCAUGCUAAUGUAUUCAAG
rnacentral:rRNA from 1 species